AAAGACACUUCAGUUAACUGUGGAAAUGUCACAUCCAAAAGGUAAAAGAACACAUGAAAUCCAAAAAGCCAAUGAAAGUAAAUGCUUAAUUUAACCUGAAAUGAUUUACAAGUAUAAGUCACUGAUGUAGGCUAAUGGACUUAAACAUAAAUCUUAUAGCUCUUGGGAGAAGUAAAAUUAUAAUAGUUAUCAACAAAUUGUAUCUAAUUACAUUCAAUGAAAUCAGUAACAUUUUAUCAUUAUUAAAUAUGCAAUGAAAACCAUUAUACUUAGCCUUAUAUAAGCAUUUAUAUAUUUACAUAGAGUGGCAGAAAUGGGCUUAUUAUUAUUAAGUUUGAAAAUGACAGGUUUAAAAAUCCAAUUAUGGGAGAAAGGGGACGUCUUUUAGCUUUGCUUCUAUUAGAAUAUACUUUUAAUGUUUGAGAUUUCUCUUGAAUAAAUCCAACUCCGCAUUUCCUAGUUGAGCAACUAAGGAGUUGUUGAGCUGAUGGUUUCACAUUUUGUUCAUCAUUAAUUUACCAAAUACAUGCAAAUAAUGUGCCAAGGUACACAUUAUUUGUUCUUUCAGUUACAUCUACAAGGGAAAUCUCAUGGAAAAUGUUACUUUUGCAUAUUAUAUACUGUUUAGAAAUAAUUAUCUAUGUGUAACUCAAGUAAUUUUUUAAGAUAACUUUAAAAAAUAUAUAAAUUAUUAUGGUCAAUUGAGAAAUAAGUUAUUUAUGUAUGGAUGAAUCUAUAAUUAUUUUUAUUAAUUAAAAAUACAAUAUAAUUCCCACUUAAAAAUGCUUAGUCCAUUAAUAUUUUAGAGAUAUUAUUUAUUCUUCAGAGCUUCAGUAUACAUAUAAUCUCGUAAUAAAUCCAGAAUAAUCCCUAAGUCCUACUCUUAUGAUUGGAAGAUACUAAAAUUGUAACAAGAAUUCAAAAUUGUUUAAUAAAUUAUAAAUAUGCUUAUUACAUAAUGUUAUUGCAAGAAGUAUUUUGGUAGACUACCUGAAGGAUGCCCUGUAGUCAUUAUCUUCUCAGCAGUAUGUUUUGUGCAAAAUGUGAUUCAGACCCUUAACGAGUUUUAUAGGAGAGUAUUUAACUCAAAAGAUGCACUAUAUACACUGUCACCUUAGUCACAACAUCAACUGACUGGGCCAAACAUUUUAGGGUAACUUCAUUUUCAAAAUAAUUACUCAUUAAGUAUUUGCACUUGUCUGACUUUACAUCAGGAUUUCAGGUAAUGGUUUAAUUAUCUGGCCAAGCUUGUCUCAUUCCACUCUGGUUAAAGGGCAGACAGAAAUGAUUAAAAUAUAGGGAUAAGGCCUGAAAGGGAUUCAUUAACAUUAGUUUGUCUCCUUAAAUUAAUUGAGGCUCUCCUAUUUAAAGCAGUCACAUGUUUAAUAUCUUAGAAUAUCCAGUAAUUUGUUUUCUUUCUUAAAGAAGAUACAGAAAGAAAUAAAAGGGGAUUCCAAGAAACUUCAGCUCUGGCUUUCAGGUGCUGUUACUAUAUUCUAUCAACUUGUGUAGGUAUUUAGAUUCACUGAUAAACUUGUAAUUUUUUUAAAAAAUAAAAACAUAACUAUUUCCAUUACUUUUAUUUGUACUCAACAGAAUUAGGAAUAUAGGUUCCUGCAUUUUUUAUUUUUUUCCUGCAUUGUUUAAAAAAGAAUUUAUGAUUAAGAGAUCUUAGAACUUGAGAAUAUUAUUCAUAAACAUUGAUUAAUUAAAACAAUUUCAAUUGGGCAAGUAGAAUUGAAAGGUUCACUCUGUUUCUCUAUCAGCACAGAAAUAUAAUGGAGGUUCUUCAAACUAAAGUGGAAUGCUUGGCACUAUGGUGACAAAAGACUGAACCUCUGAGUGAAGCCUCUUGGCUGAGGACUGCUAUGGUCAGAACUUCACAGCACUGAGAGUGGCUGUCAGAGCACCGGAGAUUGUCAGAAGAUCUCAUUUCUAGUCUUAGCUGUAGGACUGUGGGCAAGUCACCGUCUUCUGCACUUUCUAUGGGAGAGACCAUUCGCUCAACCGUCAGGAAAGCAGCGAGGUUAGCAGUAUAAGAUGAUAUAAUGAUGAGUGU
rnacentral:lncRNA from 1 species